rnacentral:lncRNA from 1 species
UUGACCUUGUGAUCUGCCUGCCUCGGCCUCCCAUUAUGUGUCACAUUUCUAUGUCCAUCCCAGAAUCUCUCCCCUGAGCUCCUGACUGGCUGCCUUCCUCAUAACCUGUUGGUAAUCUAGAGGUAUCUCCAGAGUAAUUUUGAUCAAAUUGAGCUCCUGCUCCUUUCCCCAAAAUUUUUUCCCUGCAUGUUCAUCUCAGUAAAUGCUCCCCCCAUCCUCUCCAGGCCCAAACCACUGGAAUUGUCCUUUACUCCUCUUUCUGUCUUAUAUUCAUGUCUGUCAGCUAAUAUACCUGACCACUUCUCCCCACCUUCACUCCUGUCCACCCUUAUCUCCUUCACAGACCAUUAUGGCAGGCUCCUCAGUGAUCUCUCUGCUCUCACCCCUGCCCCCAGAGUGUUCCUUACAUGCAGCUGGAGGGAUGCUGUGAGCACCUGUAUCAGGUCAUAUCCCUCCCCCGCUCAGAACACUUCCAAGGCUACAUCUUGCUCGGGGUAAAACCCAGAGUCCUCUGCAAGGCCCUGCAUUGUCUGCCCUCAUCACCUCUCUGACAUCAUCUACUCUUCUUACUCCCUGUGCUCCAGCCACACUGGCCCGAGGGCCUUUGUGCUUGCUCUUUUCUUUGCCUAAAGAACUCAUCUAUCAAAUAGCCCAGACUUGUUCCUUCCUCUUUAGGUCUCUCCUGAGAUGUCACUGCCUUCCUGAGAUCUUCCCUCACCACCCUUCUAAAUUUGUGACUUAUAGUCACAUCUAUCUUUGCUUCUUUAACUUUAUCCUUAGCAUUAAUCAUAUUACUGUUUAACACUCUGUAGAAUUUAUCUGUGUUUAUGGUCUGUCUCCCCUGACCCUUACCUCUAGGAGACUGUUGACUUCAUCAGGGAAGGGGCUUUUGUCUACUUCCUCCGUUAUCUCCAACACAUAGAAAAGUGCUUGGCACACAGUUAGGGCUCAGUAACUACUUAUCAAAUAAACUAUUGAAGAGCACAUAUCUGGAUCCCAGCAUGGCGGGGACUCUGCCGAUCCCCUUUCUACAGAACUCCAAGGAGCUGCCUUAAAGUUUUCUGAGGGCUCAAGAUAUUCAACAAGUAUUUCACCUUGCCUCUUCUUUCUCCUCAGCAUUGGGAACACAGAAGAGAACAAAAUAUUCCCCUACCCCUAUAGAACCUACAGUAAUAGGGACAGUAAUUUAGACUAUCAAAUAAUCACACGUGUGAAAUUACCAAGAAAGGUAGAGAGUGUUAUAAGAAUACUUGAUAGGAAAUCAAAUCCGGAUCCUAGGAAAUGAGGUUUGAGGUGAUGAAGGAGUAGGCAUUAACUCCUUUAAGAGAUAAGAGUUUGGGAUGGUUGGAGCCUAGAGGCUGAUGCAGAGCAAGAGGUCAGACCUUGUGUAUGCCAUAAGGAGUUUGGGUGUUUACCCCACAUGUAGUGGGAAGUUGUAGAAUUUUAAGCUGGGGACAGGAGCGUGGUCAGGUGUUUGUGUGUGUGUGUAUGUGUGUGUGUGUGUUUCCUUCUAAAAUUCUUCACACUAAAGUGUACUUUAAAAGACUCCUCUGGCUUCUGUGUGGGGAAUUGACUAUAAGGCAUUAAGGAUUAAAGUAGGGAGACCAGUGACAAGGCUGUUACUGUGGAAUUAAAAUAGCUGUGAUUGAAGACAGCCACACAUUCUUUGCUGUUUUUCCUAUCAAGAGGUGGAGUCUCCUUCCUUCUCCUUAUAUCUGAGCUGGCCCUG